rnacentral:sRNA from 1 species
AGGUUAUCUCAGUGUUCGGCGCAGUUUGGGGUUUGUUUUUCAAAGCAUGCGCUAAGUGUUCUCCUGGCGCGUCCUGAAGCCGCAGGUGUUUCCUCCCUUGCCUGUGGUGAUGCGCCCGCCUCGCCUCGCUCGCUGCACCAGCUGAGCGGGGCAUCUU